ACUUCAGAGGAUAGCAGAAGCGUUUGGGAAAGCGCGCCAGAGAGGGUGAGAGCCCCGUAAGCGAAAUCCAAAGAAGGCCUAUCAGUAUCCUGAGUAGGGCGGGACACGUGAAAUCCCGUUUGAAUCCGCGAGGACCAUCUCGCAAGGCUAAAUACUAACCAGUGACCGAUAGUGAACCAGUACCGUGAGGGAAAGGUGAAAAGAACCCCGGGAGGGGAGUGAAAGAGAACCUGAAACCGUGUGCCUACAAGUAGUCAGAGCCCGUUAACGGGUAAUGGCGUGCCUUUUGUAGAAUGAACCGGCGAGUUGCGUUAGUCAGCAAGGUUAAGUCAGAAAAGACGGAGCCGUAGCGAAAGCGAGUCUGAAGAGGGCGAGCAGUUGGCUGACGCAGACCCGAAACCAAGUGACCUACCCAUGACCAGGUUGAAGGCGCGGUAAAACGCGCUGGAGGACCGAACCCACGUAAGUUGAAAAUUGCGGGGAUGAGUUGUGGGUAGCGGUGAAAUUCCAAACGAACUUGGAGAUAGCUGGUUCUCUC
rnacentral:rRNA from 1 species